rnacentral:sRNA from 1 species
CAGAACUUGUGACAGAUCAUAGAUUCUUGCUGUCUUUGUCACCUCAGUUAGAUUUGCUUAGCACUCACUUCUUCUAAACCUCAUCUAGGCACUGAAAGAAAAAGAGCUGGGGAACGAUGCCUACAAGAAGAAAGACUUUGACACAGCCUUGAAGCAUUACGACAAAGCCAAGGAGCUGGACCCCACCAACAUGACUUACAUUACCAAUCAAGCAGCGGUAUACUUUGAAAAGGGCGACUACAAUAAGUGCCGGGAGCUUUGUGAGAAGGCCAUUGAAGUGGGGAGAGAAAACCGAGAAGACUAUCGACAGAUUGCCAAAGCGUAUGCUCGAAUUGGCAACUCCUACUUCAAAGAAGAAAAGUACAAGGAUGCCAUCCAUUUCUAUAACAAGUCUCUGGCAGAACACCGAACCCCAGAUGUGCUCAAGAAAUGCCAGCAGGCGGAGAAAAUCCUGAAGGAGCAAGAGCGGCUGGCCUACAUAAACCCCGACCUGGCUUUGGAGGAGAAGAACAAAGGCAACGAGUGUUUUCAGAAAGGGGACUAUCCCCAGGCCAUGAAGCAUUAUACAGAAGCCAUCAAAAGGAACCCG